GAUGAACGCUGGCGGUGUGCCUAAUACAUGCAAGUCGAGCGAACGGACGAGAAGCUUGCUUCUCUGAUGUUAGCGGCGGACGGGUGAGUAACACGUGGAUAACCUACCUAUAAGACUGGGAUAACUUCGGGAAACCGGAGCUAAUACCGGAUAAUAUUUUGAACCGCAUGGUUCAAAAGUGAAAGACGGUCUUGCUGUCACUUAUAGAUGGAUCCGCGCUGCAUUAGCUAGUUGGUAAGGUAACGGCUUACCAAGGCAACGAUGCAUAGCCGACCUGAGAGGGUGAUCGGCCACACUGGAACUGAGACACGGUCCAGACUCCUACGGGAGGCAGCAGUAGGGAAUCUUCCGCAAUGGGCGAAAGCCUGACGGAGCAACGCCGCGUGAGUGAUGAAGGUCUUCGGGUCGUAAAACUCUGUUAUUAGGGAAGAACAUAUGUGUAAGUAACUGUGCACAUCUUGACGGUACCUAAUCAGAAAGCCACGGCUAACUACGUG
rnacentral:rRNA from 1 species